ACCGGAGGCGCUUGGCGGUUAUCCGUGGUUUGGCGCCGUUAGCUGGACAAUCUGAGACGCUCAGAGGCCAUGUGGGAUGAGCGAAGAAGGAAGAAGGGCCCUUUCAGGAGACAGUUGUCCUGUCAGGUUAUCUAGUCGCGCCCCAGGCGGGAGCGCCAGCUCUGGGAAUCUGGGUCACGACCCCUUCUUUCAGCCUUUCGGCCAAAUGAAGUAGCCCAGAGGCUCCUGUCAUUUCUUUACUUUUCUGCCUCCUCUCAGAAAAUGUGCUGAAGACCAUCUACGCAUGGAGGAGACAAGCCACCUUUGCUACCACAUGGAGGCUUGCCUAAAACUGAAACUAAAAAAGCCAACCAACCUGGGAGACAGAAAAGAAGUCCUGGUGACAUUAUUUGAGCCCAAGGAUCCAGAUAUGCCUAAAGAUUACCUUUAUCACUGGACUUAUUAGUUAAAUGAGCCAAUAAAUUCUCUUUUAUGCUUAAA